CAGGAUGAACGCUGGCGGCGUGCUUAACACAUGCAAGUCGAACGGUGAAGCCAAGCUUGCUUGGUGGAUCAGUGGCGAACGGGUGAGUAACACGUGAGCAACUGCCUGGACUCUGGGAUAAGCGCUGGAAACGGCGUCUAAUACUGGAUAUGAGCCUCUUCCGCAUGGUGGGGGUUGGAAAGAUUUUUUGGUCUGGGAUGGGCUCGCGGCCUAUCAGCUUGUUGGUGAGGUAAUGGCUCACCAAGGCGUCGACGGGUAGCCGGCCUGAGAGGGUGACCGGCCACACUGGGACUGAGACACGGCCCAGACUCCUACGGGAGGCAGCAGUGGGGAAUAUUGCACAAUGGGCGAAAGCCUGAUGCAGCAACGCCGCGUGAGGGAUGACGGCCUUCGGGUUGUAAACCUCUUUUAGCAGGGAAGAAGCGAAAGUGACGGUACCUGCAGAAAAAGCGCCGGCUAACUACGUGCCAGCAGCCGCGGUAAUACGUAGGGCGCAAGCGUUAUCCGGAAUUAUUGGGCGUAAAGAGCUCGUAGGCGGUUUGUCGCGUCUGCUGUGAAAUCCCGAGGCUCAACCUCGGGCCUGCAGUGGGUACGGGCAGACUAGAGUGCGGUAGGGGAGAUUGGAAUUCCUGGUGUAGCGGUGGAAUGCGCAGAUAUCAGGAGGAACACCGAUGGCGAAGGCAGAUCUCUGGGCCGUAACUGACGCUGAGGAGCGAAAGGGUGGGGAGCAAACAGGCUUAGAUACCCUGGUAGUCCACCCCGUAAACGUUGGGAACUAGUUGUGGGGACCAUUCCACGGUUUCCGUGACGCAGCUAACGCAUUAAGUUCCCCGCCUGGGGAGUACGGCCGCAAGGCUAAAACUCAAAGGAAUUGACGGGGACCCGCACAAGCGGCGGAGCAUGCGGAUUAAUUCGAUGCAACGCGAAGAACCUUACCAAGGCUUGACAUACACCAGAACGGGCCAGAAAUGGUCAACUCUUUGGACACUGGUGAACAGGUGGU
rnacentral:rRNA from 1 species